AUGAAGCCCCAGAGCAGGGAUUCUCUGUGUGCUCCCUGGACCAGCAGCAUCCGCAUCCUCUGGGAACUUUUUGGCAAUGCAGAUUCUCAGGCCCGUUCCUCUGGAAUGCUCCCUGUCAGGCUGUGGGCCAACACUUACCUGCUGUUUGGAGCCCCCCCGCCCCCUACCAUACCCACUCGCCUGCUCCUCCACACCCCUUCGGCUCAACUGUGUAAGGGCAGAUCUUCCCAAGUGCAGGCAGCCACCGUGUGCCCUUCCUGGUCCUUUCUGCAGAAGUCUUCACCCGGCAUGCAGACAACCACCACAGAAACGGAGUGGCCAAUGGCCUGCAGAGCAACAUGCCCGUUUUAUUGUGACUACUGGUGAUACAAACCUCACCCAUAACUCUCCCUCUGUGAGAACAAGGCACUGCAGUGGUAGGAAACACAAAGAGAAUGUGAAAGUCGACUAUCAGAAAUGGAUGGAAGAGCAGGCUCAGAGCCCAAUUGAUAAAACAACGGCUGCAUUUCAACAAGGAAAGAUACCUCCUACUCCAUUCUCUGCUCCUCCUCCUGCAGGGGUGAUGAUACCACCUCCCCCCAGUCUUCCAGGUCCUUCUUGCCCUGGUAUGAUGCCAUCAGCCCCUGUGGGGGAAUGAGGCUGCCCAUGGGAGGCCACGUGCCAAUGAUGCCUGGGACCCCAAUGAUGACACCUCCUGCCUGUCCCAUGAUAGUGCCCACUCAGCCGGGAAGGACUCGACCAGACAGAUAAGGAUAGAGGGGAGGCCUCAUUAUAUCAGUUUUAUAUUACCUGUUCUGCUUCACCAGGAGAUCAUGCUGCUGUAAUACUGGGUUUUCCAAACAGCAUAAGGAAGACUUGCUCCCCUGUCCUAUCAAAGAGAAUAGUUUUGGAGGGGAGAGGUGGGGCAAAAAAGAUGCAGUUUUCAUUUGUAUUGGGAAAUGUGAAAAUAAAAUUGUCAACUCUUUUAGUUAAAAAAAA